AUUUCUACUUUUAGUUCUGCCCACUCCUGCUGCUUCCUUCGCCUGCUCCACCUUUCCUCAGAGAGCCUCCUGCAGAGGUCAGCGAAUCCGUUUUGGGGUUGUCUAAAAGAAGCACUCACAGCUUCAAAAAAGGAGGGGCUGUAGCCCUUUAAGGAUUUAGCCGGGAUGAAUUCAGAGAUGAGUUUAAAAAUGCCAACUCACAGAGCGCUCUGGAUUCUGGGAAGGAUGUGUCAAAUCGAGAACUACAUUGACCAGUAUGCACUGCAAACACACACGCCUUUACUUCCUUCUGCUCUUUCGGACCCUGCUUUGACGUAGCACUCUUCAAAGCAAGCAGCCUAGGAAGAGGGCAGAGCCACACCUUUUCACGUAUUGGCUAGCUCCUGAGUUGGUGGGUGUGGCUUAGUGCAACUCUACUAAGCAAAGGGGUGGCCUCCUUGCCAAUCAGAGCUAAGACGGCCAGAGAGGCGGGACCAGAGCGAAGGGCUGGCACCCCCGAGUGGGUGUGGUCACGCUGCCCACCAGUAGGCGGUGAUUGGCCCUGGGCGGUGCAAUCGCAACUUGUGCGUCACGACGCCGCCAGCUGAUCGGAGACUGGAGCCGGUGUGUGCUGGGCGUUGGGAAGAGAGCGCCGCCGGCCGUGGGGAACCGACGCACUGAUUUGCUCCCCUGCUCUCAGCACCCACCACACAUCCAACACCAGAUCCAGGGCCCCAAAACUCUUCUUCCAGCUGAACUACCUGGGAAUAAGUCAGCUGGGCUGAUCACUGAACUCACAUUUCUGGAACUGAGGAGCCUGUACCUCCCACACUCUCACCUGGCUGAGCCGCAGUAGUUCUUCAGUGGCAAGCUUUAUGUCCUGACCCAGCUAAAGCUGCCAGUUGAAGAACUGUUGCCCUCUGCCCCUGGCUUCGAGGAGGAGGAGGAGGAGGAGCUGCUUUCCCCCUCAUCUGGAAGGUGACAGAACGGGCUGGGAAGGUCUGAACAGCAGGAGUGGUGAUGAUAACCUUUCAGAAAAGGGAACCCAGUUCUGCUGAAGAGUCUUCACCCUGACUGGCACAGCCAGAAAGAGCAAUUUUAGAUCAGAAACCCUGACUGAAUCAGGGAAUGGAUGGCUCUGACUACCCAAGGUUAGUCAGUGUUCGUGUGAUAAUGAGGAGAAGUGGAGCAAAGAAGACCCUGUCUGUCCCUUUAUCCAGAUGUUUUUCUUGACCUUUCUUCCUUAUCCCUCAUUCUUUCCUCUGGCCUUUCCAGGUGAGGUCCAGAAGUAAGCAGUAUCUCAGGGAGCAGUUCAUACUGAAACUCCCCAUCUGAAUAGUCAUGCCCCUGCUCUUCCCUUUCCCUGCAUUUCCAUAGACUGGCUCACACUCUAGAUUCAGGGAUACUUAGUGUAUGUGGGACCCUUAGAUCUCCUGUCUGUUUCUCUACCUAUGUGUGAGAUGGGAGAAAUCACCCAGGUGAGUAUGCUUGAGGGAAUCAGAAGUCCAUUUGUGCAGACUCAGAGCUUGGGGUGGGAAACAGCUUUCACUUAUGCUAUUGCCCCUCCUCCGUCCCUGACUAUAACCCCAGGAGGUGGGGGUGGGAGUUGGAGAGUUAGAGGAGCUAGUAGGAGCUCAAUCUCUACAUCGACUUCUCACCAUGCAAAGGUGGUACCAGGCGUCCUCCGCUCCCCAAAACAGGACUGCGGCUCCUGAUGGGGUUCCAGCUACCACUGCUUUCUUUCCUCACUUCACUUUCCAGGCUAAUGUGUGAGACUCAGCUCAGGCCUGUACAGGACAGGAACUACUUGCCCCCCCACCCCCCGCCGCCCCCUGGCAACCAGGAAAGCUGAGUUCUGGGACAGGACCCCCACUUUGGAGCAUCAGACAGUGUAAACCUGUCACCCCCAGCUCCUGAUCCAAUCUCAUUCUUUGGCUUGGGCUCUGGUGUGGUUCAGCCUUGGCCCAGUCUCCUUGCCUGAAAGUAGACAUGUUUUGGGGCUGCAGGAGGCUGUUUGUUCUGUUUUGGGGGAGGAGGUAUACAGGGAGCUGGGUUCUCUUCUCCACUGAUGAGAAACCAAAGAUUUAGGGAAAAGUAGAACAUUGAACCGAGCCCUUGCAGCUUAAGCCGGAUGUGUGUGGGGCUGUGGUAGAAAGGAGUGGGUAGACAGAGUCUACUCAUAGACUUCAACAAAGGUCACCGUGUCCCUGGACCUUGCUCCCAUCCUUUCUUCCCUUCCUCGCUUCAUUGGCCACAGUGUUUCCCUUCAGCCAUGGACAUGUGGCUCUGCCAACCUCACCUGUCAUGGAGAAGACAUGAGGAAGAGCAGCCUGGGCACACAGAGACAGGCAGAACUCCAGUGAAGAGCAAGGCCUGGAGUGCACAGGAGCCUGUCUGGGCACCCUGCAGAGGGGGCCUAUAAGGGCCAGGCACACCCCAGGAAGAGGGAGGACAGCCAGCCUCAGCACGGGCAAGCUUCCAGCCACCUUCAGGCUUUCUGCUUCCUUCAGAGAUGUGGGGCCAUACUAAAGUGUCCUGUGGUUUCAUCCUCCUACUUCCACCUCUCCUCCACCCUAUAAUUUUUACAUAAGCAGCUUCAAGGAACAAGAGCCAGCUGUGAAAUAUACAGGAAAUUCAUAAAGAAAUUGAAAUGGAUAAAACCAUGGAAAAAAGUGUGCUUCAUUAGUAAUUAAAGAGAGGCAAAUAGAGCUAUAAGCAUUUUUCCCAUAGCAGGCUAUAACAGAAAAAAAUAAGGCCCAGUUGUUGGCAAAGGGCUACUAAAAUAACACCACCAUACCUUGCAUAUGGGGUACAAGUUGGUACAGUCUUCCUGGAUGCAAGUUUGGUGAUAUGUAUCAAACAUUACCGUGGCCUUUGACCUAGUAAUUCUAUACCUGGGAAUUUAUCCUAAGAAAAUAAUGAAAGAUUUAGUUAAAAGGUGUUCGUCCCAGCAUUGCAAUAGAGAAAAAUGGGAAGCAACUUUCUGAUUGGGAAUUCAUUUCUGCUGUAAUGAAAAUGUGCAAUAGGGGAUUGCUUAAGUAAAUUAUUGUAUAUCCAUCCAGAUGGUGGAGUACUGUGCAGCCAUUAAAAUCAUGUGGAAGAACAUUUGACUGGAAAGAAGAAUGCUCUUUGAAUACUAAAAAGUUUAUAAAAAUAGCACAGAUCUUAAUUUUAUUUUUUUAAGAUACAAGUAUGUACUUGCAUAAUGCACAAAGACUGAGGACAUACUCUGAAAUGUUAAUAAUAGUGGUUAUUUUGGAUGGUGGAAUAAGGUAAUGGUAAUUUUUCUCUGUAAUUUUCCAAAUUUGCUGUGAUUUUUUUCUGUAAUUUCCAAAUUUGCUCUAUUAAUUUUGUGUGGCUUUCAUAUAACAAAUAAAAUUUAAAAGAACCAUUCAUUUUUUUUUCAUAGAGUGGCGGGUGUGGAGGAAUGAAGGGAUGCCCUUGGCCCCUUGUACUAAUGGGGUUUUGGUGGAGAAAGGUCGUUGUGAGAGAGUCUGGGGGAGCACCUGUUGGCUCACGAAGUUCAUUCUUUGGAAGGAGCUGGAUCCACCUGCUCUGUGUACGGGAAGGCUCUAUGAAUUUCUGGCUGACAGCCAGCUCGAGAUGUGGCAUGGAGGAAGAUGGAAAACAGCAAAAUGCUAUCGCUAACUCUUCAGCAAAUGGGUGUUGGGGGGUGGAGGUUUUCCUCUCCUGGAGGGAAGGUUCUGGAAUCCUAAGAGUCCUGCUGCUGAAAGCAUGAUGGGUGGGUGACCCUGUGUGACCUCUCUUGCUUCCUCAGAUUGGAAGAGAUACUCUAUCCACCCAACAGGUACCACCCUCCGGGGAGGGGUGUUUUCAAGACUACAGUUCUGAGUAGUUCCCUUUUCCUCUCUAAUAAUGAGGCUUCUCCGUGGGGCACCCAAAAAGUUGGGGGGGAGUCCCCAGUGGGUUGCCUCUCCAAAAGAGGAGCUGUUGUUCUCUUUGAGAAAUACUAUGUAUGAGGGCAGGGCUCCUAGAAUUAUAUGGUUGCUGGGAUGUGUUAGAGGCCUGCAAAUUUCCGGAGGUAGAAGGGGUGGCUCUAAGAAAGUGGAGUGCCCUCUCCCCCACAACCGAGACUGGCGGGGGGCGGAGCAGUGUGGUGGCAGUGAGGUUGAAGCAAGCGAAAGUGGGUUUGCCCUGCCCUUGAAUUUAAGGGCCGAGUGGAUG